UACGUAGGGGGCAAGCGUUGUCCGGAAUCAUUGGGCGUAAAGCGCGUGUAGGCGGCUUGGUAAGUCUGCUCUGAAAGCCCGGGGCUCAACCCCGGGAGGCGGGUGGAUACUGUCAAGCUCGAGUCCGGAAGAGGAGUGUGGAAUUCCUGGUGUAGCGGUGAAAUGCGUAGAUAUCGGAAGGAACAUCAGUGGCGAAAGCGGCUUCCUGGACCAGCACCGACGUUCAGGCACGAAAGCGUGGGGAGCAAACAGG
rnacentral:rRNA from 1 species